GUGAGUGUAGCUCAGUUGGCAGAGCAUCGGAUUGUGGUUCCGAGGGUCGUGGGUUCGACCCCCACCACUCACC
rfam:Candidate division TM6 bacterium GW2011_GWF2_43_87 TW09_C0003, whole genome shotgun sequence.